rnacentral:rRNA from 1 species
UACGUAGGGUGCGAGCGUUGUCCGGAAUUACUGGGCGUAAAGAGCUCGUAGGUGGUUUGUCGCGUUGGUCGUGAAAUCUCACGGCUUAACUGUGAGCGUGCGGGCGAUACGGGCAGACUGGAGUACUGCAGGGGAGACUGGAAUUCCUGGUGUAGCGGUGGAAUGCGCAGAUAUCAGGAGGAACACCGGUGGCGAAGGCGGGUCUCUGGGCAGUAACUGACGCUGAGGAGCGAAAGCGUGGGGAGCAAACAGG